rnacentral:rRNA from 1 species
AUAAUGGGUCAGCGACUUAUAUUCUGUAGCAAGGUUAACCGAAUAGGGGAGCCGAAGGGAAACCGAGUCUUAACUGGGCGUUAAGUUGCAGGGUAUAGACCCGAAACCCGGUGAUCUAGCCAUGGGCAGGUUGAAGGUUGGGUAACACUAACUGGAGGACCGAACCGACUAAUGUUGAAAAAUUAGCGGAUGACUUGUGGCUGGGGGUGAAAGGCCAAUCAAACCGGGAGAUAGCUGGUUCUCCCCGAAAGCUAUUUAGGUAGCGCCUCGUGAAUUCAUCUCCGGGGGUAGAGCACUGUUUCGGCAAGGGGGUCAUCCCGACUUACCAACCCGAUGCAAACUGCGAAUACCGGAGAAUGUUAUCACGGGAGACACACGGCGGGUGCUAACGUCCGUCGUGAAGAGGGAAACAACCCAGACCGCCAGCUAAGGUCCCAAAGUCAUGGUUAAGUGGGAAACGAUGUGGGAAGGCCCAGACAGCCAGGAUGUUGGCUUAGAAGCAGCCAUCAUUUAAAGAAAGCGUAAUAGCUCACUGGUCGAGUCGGCCUGCGCGGAAGACGUAACGGGGCUAAACCAUGCACCGAAGCUGCGGCAGCGACGCUGAUGCGUUGUUGGGUAGGGGAGCGUUCUGUAAGCCUGUGAAGGUGUGCU